rnacentral:snoRNA from 1 species
CCUAUCUGAUGAUACAAGCGCAAUCGCAUAGUUCACGCUGAAUCAAAAGUGUUGACAAUCAUGCAUCUUUACGUCUUUCGCUCCUAUCUGACUCAUCUC